GUUAUAUGGUCAAGUGAAGAAGCGCAUACGGUGGAUGCCUUGGCAGUCAGAGGCGAUGAAAGACGUGGUAGCCUGCGAAAAGCUUCGGGGAGUCGGCAAACAGACUUUGAUCCGGAGAUGUCUGAAUGGGGGAACCCAGCCAUCACAAGAUGGUUAUCUUGUACUGAAUACAUAGGUGCAAGAGGCGAACCAGGGGAACUGAAACAUCUAAGUACCCUGAGGAAAAGAAAUCAACCGAGAUUCCCUUAGUAGUGGCGAGCGAACGGGGACUAGCCCUUAAGCUUCUUUGAUUUUAGCGGAACGCUCUGGAAAGUGCGGCCAUAGUGGGUGAUAGCCCUGUACGCGAAAGGAUCUUAGAAGUGAAAUCGAGUAGGACGGAGCACGAGAAACUUUGUCUGAAUAUGGGGGGACCAUCCUCCAAGGCUAAAUACUACUGACUGACCGAUAGUGAACUAGUACCGUGAGGGAAAGGCGAAAAGAACCCCGGAGAGGGGAGUGAAAUAGAUCCUGAAACCGUAUGCGUACAAGCAGUGGGAGCCCACUUUGUUGGGUGACUGCGUACCUUUUGUAUAAUGGGUCAGCGACUUAUUUUCAGUGGCGAGCUUAACCGAAUAGGGGAGGCGUAGCGAAAGCGAGUCUUAAUAGGGCGUCUAGUCGCUGGGAAUAGACCCGAAACCGGGCGAUCUAUCCAUGGGCAGGUUGAAGGUUAGGUAACACUGACUGGAGGACCGAACCGACUACCGUUGAAAAGUUAGCGGAUGACCUGUGGAUCGGAGUGAAAGGCUAAUCAAGCUCGGAGAUAGCUGGUUCUCCUCGAAAGCUAUUUAGGUAGCGCCUCAUGUAUCACUGUAGGGGGUAGAGCACUGUUUCGGCUAGGGGGUCAUCCCGACUUACCAAACCGAUGCAAACUCCGAAUACCUACAAGUGCCGAGCAUGGGAGACACACGGCGGGUGCUAACGUCCGUCGUGAAAAGGGAAACAACCCAGACCGUCAGCUAAGGUCCCAAAGUUAUGGUUAAGUGGGAAACGAUGUGGGAAGGCUUAGACAGCUAGGAGGUUGGCUUAGAAGCAGCCACCCUUUAAAGAAAGCGUAAUAGCUCACUAGUCGAGUCGGCCUGCGCGGAAGAUGUAACGGGGCUCAAACCAUACACCGAAGCUACGGGUAUCACGUAAGUGAUGCGGUAGAGGAGCGUUCUGUAAGCCUGUGAAGGUGAGUUGAGAAGCUUGCUGGAGGUAUCAGAAGUGCGAAUGCUGACAUGAGUAACGACAAUGGGUGUGAAAAACACCCACGCCGAAAGACCAAGGUUUCCUGCGCAACGUUAAUCGACGCAGGGUUAGUCGGUCCCUAAGGCGAGGCUGAAAAGCGUAGUCGAUGGAAAACAGGUUAAUAUUCCUGUACUUCUGGUUAUUGCGAUGGAGGGACGGAGAAGGCUAGGCCAGCUUGGCGUUGGUUGUCCAAGUUUAAGGUGGUAGGCUGAAAUCUUAGGUAAAUCCGGGGUUUCAAGGCCGAGAGCUGAUGACGAGUUACCCUUUGGGUGACGAAGUGGUUGAUGCCAUGCUUCCAAGAAAAGCUUCUAAGCUUCAGAUAACCAGGAACCGUACCCCAAACCGACACAGGUGGUUGGGUAGAGAAUACCAAGGCGCUUGAGAGAACUCGGGUGAAGGAACUAGGCAAAAUGGCACCGUAACUUCGGGAGAAGGUGCGCCGGUGAGGGUGAAGCACUUGCUGCGUAAGCCCACGCCGGUCGAAGAUACCAGGCCGCUGCGACUGUUUAUUAAAAACACAGCACUCUGCAAACACGAAAGUGGACGUAUAGGGUGUGACGCCUGCCCGGUGCCGGAAGGUUAAUUGAUGGGGUUAGCUAACGCGAAGCUCUUGAUCGAAGCCCCGGUAAACGGCGGCCGUAACUAUAACGGUCCUAAGGUAGCGAAAUUCCUUGUCGGGU
rnacentral:rRNA from 1 species